GCAGUGAGUGCAGCCCACCUAACGUCAUGCCCUUGGAAGAAGCCUGGGAGGGAAAGAUUUCCUGUGGGUUGGCCACAACUUGACUUGAAGCUGCAAGCCUCUGUUACACAGCCAGUCAGGGUCAGAGGCCUCAGCAGCUUGAUCCCACCUCAAGUCAUCCUGCUGGCGGCCAACGUGGUGUGGUUCUCACGGCUUGAGGAAGAGAAUGAGUAGAAGGAGGAGCAGAGGAAGAGGGACAAGUAGCUUCUAAGCUCAGUUCAGAGCUGGAUGUGGAGCCUGGUCUCACGACCCUGAGAUCUGAGCUGAGCAGACAUCCAGAGUUGGACAUCCAGCCCACUGAGCAACCCGAGGUCUCCUCUUUUAAAAGACCUGGGGUCUGGCCGGGGAGAAUGAAGCCAGUUGCCAUCAACAGGCAUAAAUCCUGUCGUCACCAGUCUUAAGUCAGCAACACGUGUUGGGCCACUCGGUUCAAAGUUGUCAUGUCCAUUUCUUGCAUGUGCCCUCUGCGCAUUGGUAAUGGCCAGUGAGGACAUCAUCACCUGAGAUGCUUUCCUGCUCCAGGACUUCCACUUUCCUGUGAUAUCUCAUUACUCAGUAACAAGCAAGAAAUAUGAAUGACCAGGACCUGCAGAAAUCUCCCAAGUCUCAAUGCCAUUUACAACUACUCAGGUUUUGGAUUCAGAGGGAUUAAAUGAUAAUGUCUCAUGGAGGUGAGGGGUCUAGACUGAAGAAAUGAUGAUGAGUGUUUCCAGGAGAUCUGCACUUUGGGAACCAAGACGGUUGUUGUAAAUGUGUGCUUAGUAUGAAGGACAGAAGCGCAUGAAAUCCCACUCAGAAGAGCACCUGGCCCAUCAGCCCUUUACCUGUGCCCCUGCCAUGCUGGCUGUGGGAUUGUUCUCGGACCAUAUUCAACAAUGGAUCCUUCCUUCCCUGGGACAGAAGACCUCCAGAAGCUCCCAUGACACUUGCUUCUUACGCUACCUCCAUCCCCUCAAGUCCUCACCAAUGAAUGAAGGGGAGUUUCCAUUUCUGAUGAGAUUUCAGUGAGGAGCCUUGGGAUGAUGAAUCUGGUAAUAAAUGUCAAUCUCCACAGUGCUGGGUAGCGGUGAUUCUUCCCAGAACUUCCUCACUGACUGGAGAAGACAAUUCAAUGAUGUUCUGGUGCCAGAAACCUAGAGCUCCUUGAGGUCAUCUAGGAAGGUCAACUCAGGGGGUAUGGGGGCGAUUCAUCGCUCCUUUCCCAGUCCGAAGAACCCGCAAUUAAUGGGACGUGAAACCAUCUCGACCCUCACAAGCCAACCCAGACUGACCACUGUUGAUGGAAAAGAAACACAUUUUAUGUGCUUGAAGAGGUGGGCGGCCUGCCCCUUAAAAUGAUAGAUGUAGGUGAAGAUUACAUGGCUUACAAAAAUUGCUUUCAGAAUCUGAAGGAGGAGAAGAUAAUUAAAAGUUAAGGCGCCUGUUCUGGUUACAGGAUAACAUCAGUAAUAAACGUAUUCGCGGAAGGCGUUUAUAAUUACCAUGCAUCUGCUUUGGAAUGAGCUGGAACAUAUCACAUUACUAAGCACUGGUUGUCCCUGACGUGGAUACCGCGGAUUACCUCUGCUGGUUUGAA